CCCCUCUAAUCAUCAUAUAUCUUACAGGUAACAAACCAAAGGAUGAGGACAGUAGCUUUUCUGUGCCAGCCGUGGUACAUACAGGAACAUCCUUCGUGAAGAUGCGUCAGAGAAGCAUCCCAGUGUCAAUGAAGAUGGUGUGGUCAGUGGAAUUCUGCUGUUCAUGGGAAAUCUGAAGGAACAUCUCCCAGUAUUCUACUACCAUGUUGCCCUGAUGAUUGAGGAAUUUUUUCGGACUUUCCGGCCUCUUUGGAACAUUUCCGUUCAUACAGACUGUGGAGAGAUGGUGUGCAGCUUCAUGACAUGUGAAGUUUAGUUCACAGACAGCACUUUCCAGCAAGUUCAUUUGGAUUAAUUUUUUUAAAUAACUAAUUUAUUUAUUUAGUCAAACUUGCAUUCACUAAUGCUGGAGUAAGAUUUUAGAAGAAAACUUUAAGUCCUGUUUAAUGUUGGUGCUAGUAAAGGUUUGAGAACUAAUGGCC